rnacentral:ncRNA from 1 species
UACAAGACGAGAAGACCCUGUGGAGCUUAAGUCGCAUCACUCAACACAUACUAACACAUAAUCUACCGGAACAACCGUAUAAGCCCCUGAGUUAUAGUCUUUGGUUGGGGUGACCUCAGAGCAUAAAAUAACCUCUGAAUGAAUAUAACCUAGAUUAACAAAUCUAAGUGUAACAAUACCAGUAAUUGACCCAUCUCUUGAUCAAGGGAACAGGUUACCCCAGGGAUAACAGCGCAAUCCUAUUUGAGAGCCCAUAUCGAAAAUUAGGGUUUACAACCUCGAUGUUGGAUCAGGACACCCAAAUGGAGCAACCACUAUUAAAGGUUCGUUUGUUCAACGAUUAAAGUCCUAUGUGAUCUGAGUUAAGACCAGAGAAAUCCAGGUUGGUUUCUAUCUGUA